rnacentral:rRNA from 1 species
CCUACGGGAGGCAGCAGUGGGGAAUCUUGCGCAAUGGGCGAAAGCCUGACGCAGCAACGCCGCGUGCGGGAAGAAGGCUCUCGGGUUGUAAACCGCUUUCAGCAGGAACGAAAAUGACGGUACUUGCAGAAGAAGGUGCGGCCAACUACGUGCCAGCAGCCGCGGUGACACGUAGGCACCAAGCGUUGUCCGGAUUUAUUGGGCGUAAAGAGCUCGUAGGCGGUUCGGUAAGUCAGGUGUGAAAACUUUGGGCUCAACCCAAAGCCUGCAUCUGAUACUGCUGUGACUAGAGUUCGGUAGGGGAGCGGGGAAUUCCUAGUGUAGCGGUGAAAUGCGCAGAUAUUAGGAGGAACACCGGUGGCGAAGGCGCCGCUCUGGGCCGAAACUGACGCUGAGGAGCGAAAGCGUGGGUAGCAAACAGGAUUAGAUACCCUGGUAGUCCACGCCGUAAACGUUGGGCACUAGGUGUGGGUUUCAACCAACGAAAUCCGCGCCGUCGCUAACGCAUUAAGUGCCCGCCUGGGGAGUACGGCCGCAAGGUUAAAACUCAAAUGAAUUGACGG